GGUGGUCUAAUGGUUAGAGCGUCCGCCUUAGAUGCGGGAUGUCGCAGGUUCCAACCCAAGCCGAGUCAUGCCAAAGACA